GUAGCUCACAUACCGCGACGGGUUUACGUGCGUGUCACCGCCGUUGCGAGGGAAUCGCGUUACACACCGCCGCCUUGACGUUCAUUCAGCCUUUCAGUGCGACUAAUGUUUUGUAAUAGCGAGUAACUGAAUACGGAGGAGACAUAGAAACGUCAGAAGCGUGCUUGAAUAAUUGCUGAUCGAAUUAACGAACAAAUAUAUUUACACGUACGCGAAUUUAGAGUUUGCUGCUGAUUCAUUCAAUCUUAUUGAAUUAAUUGAACAUAGAGUAACGAAAGACAUUUACGGUCAGAGAGUGUCUUGCCGGAUUCAAUUUAACUAGUAUUUUGUUUUAACAACCAUUUUGACAGGUUCGCUAAUUCCGUGCCAUGCACCAGGUUCGAGAUGCUAAAUGGUAGCAGUGUCGUAUUAAUAGUGAAAUAUCACGAGGCGGAGGCUAUAAAUAGGAUAAAAUGUAACAUGAUUGGAAAAUACGCGAAGCAAGACUGGUGUUGACGUUCCUUCAUGGCAGCUAUACACGCGAUAUCCUGCGGUUUGUCAGCGGGGAUAUAUAACGAGUGGGUAAACUAGUACGGCUUGGAGUCAGAACGAAAAUGGCGAAAGGAAAUAAGAGGAGCCUCCUCUCUUGUACCAAAGCGGUUGCCACUCGGCCAUAUCAUUGCGGAAGAAUAAGUCGGUUAUCUGAUUUGGUAUAAAACCGCAGCAAUAAUCCUCGUUAUGGAAUAAAGAACUAGUCCCGGUGUCUUCUGUGUCAUUAAAUGACCUGGAGGAGAUACA